UCGAGCGCACCUUCGGGUGAGCGGCGGACGGGUUAGUAACGCGUGGGAACAUACCCUUUGGUACGGAAUAGCCUCUGGAAACGGAGAGUAAUACCGUAUGAGCCCUUCGGGGGAAAGAUUUAUCGCCAAAGGAUUGGCCCGCGUUAGAUUAGGUAGUUGGUGGGGUAAUGGCCUACCAAGCCUACGAUCUAUAGCUGGUUUUAGAGGAUGAUCAGCAACACUGGGACUGAGACACGGCCCAGACUCCUACGGGAGGCAGCAGUGGGGAAUCUUGGACAAUGGGGGCAACCCUGAUCCAGCCAUGCCGCGUGAGUGAUGAAGGCCUUAGGGUCGUAAAGCUCUUUCGCCUGUGAAGAUAAUGACGGUAGCAGGUAAAGAAACCCCGGCUAACUCCGUGCCAGCAGCCGCGGUAAUACGGAGGGGGUUAGCGUUGUUCGGAAUUACUGGGCGUAAAGCGCACGUAGGCGGACUGGAAAGUUGGGGGUGAAAWMAMMCGGGGGGKGRMCCCGGGGRKGGGSYCYKCMMWMWMWAWCUAKAGUUCGAGAGAGGUGAGUGGAAUUCCGAGUGUAGAGGUGAAAUUCGUAGAUAUUCGGAGGAACACCAGUGGCGAAGGCGGCUCACUGGCUCGAUACUGACGCUGAGGUGCGAAAGUGUGGGGAGCAAACAGGAUUAGAUACCCUGGUAGUCCACACCGU
rnacentral:rRNA from 1 species